GGCUCUGCUGGACCCCACUCGGAGAGCCUCUGCAGAGCCGUCAUGGAGGAGAACUGUGAGACUGUGACCUCGCUGGGGUUUCCAGUUUCCCAACCCUCUGUGAUCUUCCAGCUGGAAGGAGGGGAAGAGUCAGGGUCCUGGAUCUCCUGGUUCAGUGGAAAGCGAGAUCCUGGGAAGUCCCUGCACAGCAGGUGAUGGGGUGGUGAGGGAGAGCGAGGAGCAGAAUCCUCAC